rnacentral:lncRNA from 1 species
GCCAGCCCAGGCACUCCAGCACGGCCUGACCCUUGGACGGACAGGUGUGAGGGUGUGAGGGAUGGAGGUCUGCAUCCAAGACACCCCCAGAGACCCCUGAGCUCUGAGUGCAGGUCCUCAGCUUUACUCCUGAAUGUGAGCCUCACUGAGUCCGAAGCCGGUCGCAGGCCUGGGAAACCAAGGUGGGCUGAGGAGGCAACGGGAGGCAGAGGGGCCAGCAGGAAGGAUGGGACCCCAGGCUAGGCUGGGGGUUCAGCAGCAGACACGGGUUGAAGGGGAGUGGGGGCGCCCCAGCACGGGGAGGCACCCUAGCUGCCUCAACUAGAGAUGCUUUGCUUAUUUCUUCCAUGACACAAUUACCAGGGAAGAUUUUAUUUAAAGAAAGACUUUACUACUACAAAUCGAAACAAAUCAAAAGCCACUGUAUUAUUGCCUUUCUCCCUCUUGUUUUGUGGAAAACCACAUGGCCCACUGUGAUGCAAAAUAAGAACUAAGACCUGCUAAGGAGCAGAAGUGGGGGUGUGAGGGGGGAG